rnacentral:rRNA from 1 species
UACGUAGGGUGCGAGCGUUAAUCGGAAUUACUGGGCGUAAAGCGUGCGCAGGCGGUUUUGCACGCCAGAUGUGAAAGCCCCGGGCUUAACCUGGGAAUGGCAUUUGGGACUGCAAGGCUUGAGUGCGGCAGAGGAGACUGGAAUUCCUGGUGUAGCAGUGAAAUGCGUAGAUAUCAGGAGGAAUACCGAUGGCGAAGGCAGGUCUCUGGGCUGACACUGACGCUCAUGCACGAAAGCGUGGGGAGCAAACAGG